UACAGAGGUGGCAAGCGUUGUUCGGAAUUACUGGGCGUAAAGGGCGCGUAGGCGGCCUGCUCAGUCGGACGUGAAAGCCCCAGGCUUAACCUGGGAACUGCGUCCGAUACUGGCAGGCUUGGAUUCGGGAGAGGGAUGUGGAAUUCCAGGUGUAGCGGUGAAAUGCGUAGAUAUCUGGAGGAACACCGGUGGCGAAGGCGGCAUCCUGGACCGAGAUCGACGCUGAGGCGCGAAAGCUAGGGGAGCAAACGGGAUUAGAUACCCCGGUAGUCCUAGCCCUAAACGAUGAGUGCUUGGUGUGGCGGGUAUCGAUCCCUGCCGUGCCGAAGCUAACGCAUUAAGCACUCCGCCUGGGGAGUACGGUCGCAAGGCUGAA
rnacentral:rRNA from 1 species